rnacentral:rRNA from 1 species
UACGUAGGGUGCGAGCGUUGUCCGGAAUUACUGGGCGUAAAGAGCUCGUAGGUGGUUUGUCGCGUUGUUCGUGAAAACUCACAGCUCAACUGUGGGCGUGCGGGCGAUACGGGCAGACUGGAGUACUGCAGGGGAGACUGGAAUUCCUGGUGUAGCGGUGGAAUGCGCAGAUAUCAGGAGGAACACCGGUGGCGAAGGCGGGUCUCUGGCCCGUUCUUGACGCUGAGGCGCGAAAGCUAGGGUAGCAAACGGG